GCUAGCGUAGCUUAAUACAAAGCAUAGCACUGAAGAU
rnacentral:tRNA from 1 species